rnacentral:lncRNA from 1 species
UCAGAAUCAAAGAAUUAGGGUUCAGAGAAAUUGGGAAUUUCUUCAAGGGUGGUUACCCCUCUCUGCUUGCCCAAUGAUUUCUCCAUUUUUCAAAACAAACAGCCCUUAUAAUACACGAAGCAAAACAAAGAAAAUAAUUACAGUUUCGAUUUCAUUAAAAUCAACUUAUAUAGCAUUAUUUAAUUCGUUUGGCUAUCUUCAAGUCAAGUACUUGUUUGGGAGUUUUCUAGGUAUUUUUUCUGCUAAUUUCCCUUCGAGGAAGUUGAGCUGUUGAAUAGAAAAGGGGCUGUGAUGAUUUUUCUCUUCUUUUUUUCCGGAGCUAAUGGGUCAGGUAUUGAGAUUAACCGACUCGUAUCUUGGCUUGGCAAUUUUGGAUGGCUCUGUGAUUAGGGAUUCUUUAUCAGAUGCAACCAGUGAAUUGCAGCCAUGGCAAGGUCAAUUUCUCUUUGCCUGCUCACAGAUCUGAGCCUCGAUUUAAGUUUUCUGUUUUUAUUUUUCAUUGUUGUGACUUUUUUGCACAUUUUUGGUUUACAGAAAUUCCUUG